rfam:Aedes albopictus isolate Foshan contig245557, whole genome shotgun sequence.
UUAACGGUCCUUUUCAGGACCACCGAAAAUCUUUCCUAAAGAGUUAU